AUGUCCGCUGGUGGGUGGAGCUCGAGCUUGCCAGCAGCACCUCACCUACAACGUGGCCGCCUGGCCGCCGGCACUGCUGCUCGCGCGCACGCGCGGCCGGCGCGGCUGCUGCUCACUCAAGUAAACGGCUGCUGCUGCUCGCUCCCGUCACCGCUGCUGCUCGCUCCCGUCGCCGCUGCUGCUCGUGGUCGGCGCCGCUGCUGCAUAUGGCAGGUCGGUAAGAAGGCGCACCAGAGAGCUCCGCCGCCGCCGCCCCUAGUCGUGCCCCACAUCGGCCUCCGCCACGCCCUCAAAAUCUAUCGAUGUCGGCCAUCAGAAGCUCCUGGUGCCGGCCCUCCGAUACCCACGGCGGCUGCGGCUCCGGCGGCCGCGAGAGCUGCUGCUCCGGUGGGAAGGGGGGAGCGCUAA
rnacentral:rRNA from 1 species